ensembl:snRNA U6 U6 spliceosomal RNA
GUGCUCACUUCGACAGCAAAUAUACUAAAAUUGGAAUGAUACAGAGAAGAUGAGCAUGGUCCCUACACAAGGAUGACAUGCCAAUUUGUAAAGUGUUCUAUAUUUUU